rnacentral:rRNA from 1 species
GACGAACGCUGGCGGCGUGCUUAACACAUGCAAGUCGAACGAUGAAGAAAAGAAUUGAAGCUUCGGCAGAAAUUCAUUUCGGAUUAGUGGCAGACUGGUGAGUAACGCGUGAGCAACCUACCUCUUACAAAGGGAUAGCCUCGGGAAACCGGGAUUAAUACCAUAUAACAUUGCGACGAAGCAUUUCGAUGCAAUCAAAGCUACGGCGGUAAGAGAUGGGCUCGCGUCCCAUUAACCAGAUGGUGAGGUAACGGCUCACCAUAGUAACGAUGGGUAACCGGCAGGAGAGCGUGACCCGUCACACUUGAACUGAGACACGGUCCAGACUCGUACGGGAGGCAGCAGUGGGGAAUAUUGCACAAUGGAGCGAAAUGUGAUGCAGCGACGCCGCGUGAGUGAUGAAGGAAUUCGUUUCGUAAAACUCUGUUCUAUGGGAAGAAAAGGACUGUACCAUAGGAGAAAGCGCCGGCUAACUACGUG